GUAAAUUAAUUGAACACAAAGACUCUGAAGAAAAUUGUUUUGAUGAACUUAAUAACGAAGUAGAAACGGAAUGUACAGAUGAUCAUUGUUCUGAUGAAAAUAAUUAUGAUGGAGAUAGAGAUGAAGAAAGAACUGGCUCAGAUUCCGACUUAGCAGUUCCCUCCAAACCUUCAAAAGAAUAUAAGAGAAAAUGCAUACUUGAUGAGUCCAAUUCUGAUUGUUUCCAAUCUGAUUUAACAUUACCCGAAAUAUUAAGAGAUUCAAUUAGAAGAAAUUCUUCCAAUUCAUCCAACCAAUGCGAGUCUAUUAAUUCGAGUGGGAAAGAAGAAACAUUUGUACAAAAUCAUAUAAUUGACGAACACGACUUCGAUUAUCUCGCUACAGUUUCUUCGGGAGAAAAACAGUCCUUAACUGUCAUUCCGGAAAAACUAAUUAAACAGGAGAUCGAAAAAAAUACGGAUACCGACCAGCUAAAAGAUACGUUAUCAGCCUCGAAAUCGGAUUAAAUCAACCGCCGGAAGUAUUAGAACACAUUUGUCAACGAUCAAUCUUAAUAUUAACAUUUUCAAAAUAAAUACAUUUGCUGUCCGAUAUAUUACGUUCAAAUUCUCAGAUGUUAACUAAUUAAAGUGAAAUAAAUAGAUUGAAAAUUAAUAGGUAAAAAUAAGUAGA